CCUCUCUCGGGUACCGUCCGAGUUCCCGCACAACACUGAAAUACGUGGUCACAGGAAAGAGCUUCAGAUUCAUUGACCAGACGGUAUCUCACAACCCGAAAAAUUCUCGAAACGGUGUUGUAAUUGCCAGGUUUCUCCCUCUAAACACCCAAGCACCGGCCCCCUCUCGGCCAGGACGCUGUGGAAAUAAGUUUAUGCAGACACACGCCAGGAAAAACAGCGAAGACACACCCCCCUCCACUGGAAACCAACCUUCGCCUUGAGCCAGUAGUCCACACUGUAGCCUUGAGAGUCCCGGAGCUCCCCCAAACUCAAACCUCUCACAGGUGGUGAAAGGACCUUUGUAAUGACCCAGAAGUAGGCCCGGGAGGAGGCUGCACUGUCCAGGAGACGCUGAGGACAAGUUCCCUCUGGGAACCAGCCUCCCAGGGUCCGCGAUGAAGAAACCUUUCUGCGACCAUGGAGACAAAGUACACCCCGACCCCACCCAGAAAAAACUGGAGCAGCAAAGGUUUUUUUUUUUUGUUUUAUUUUAUUGGGUGCCAUCAGCCAGGGCUGUUUUAAUCCCAUAGAACCAAGCUUAGAGGAAAGAGCCUAGUCACAACCAGCUGUAAACAAAAUACAAAGUAACAUUCUGCAGAGGGUCCAGCUGCCGCCUCUUCUCUCAUCCUUAAACUGCUUCACAUAAUCCCAAAUUCAUUAAGCCAGCAACUUUAGUCAAGACCCUUUGCAAAGCAGCUUUUGAAAAGAAGUUAAAAGGUGGGGUGCAGGGGCUGGAUGGAAGAACUUAAAACACGAACAAAACAGGCUAUAAGCAGUGCAGCGUUUAUGAGUGAAGAUGACACAAGUACAACACACCACCAUCCAAACAAAGCAGCUUGUCCUCCACCACCCACACCCUAAAAAGAGAAAGGUUUCAUAAUCAAAGGUGAGGUCAGAGUUCAGGGGGAAAAAAGUGGGUUUUAAAGCCCAACAUGAGGGCCGGGAGCACUGGCUCCCACCUGGAAUUGCCAGCAUUUUGGGAGGUGGGGUGAGGUGGGGGAGGGCAGAUCACCUGAGGUCAGGAGUUUGAGACCAGCCUGGCCAACAUGGUGAAUCCGCAUCUCUACUAAAAAUACAAAAAUGAGCCAAAUGCGGUGGGGCAGCCACCUAUAAUCCCAGCUACUCAGGAGGCUGAGGCAGGAGAAGAACCUGGGAAGCAGAGGUUGCAGUGACCAGAGAUUGUGCCACACUGCAUUCCAGCCCAGGCAACAAGAGCAAAACAAAAAAACAUGAUUCAGGAAUCUGACUGUAGAAAACUGGUCAAUAAUUUAUUCUACAGUAGAAAAUGCUAAGGAACUAAAAUACGACAAAACAUAAUAUUUACAGGUGUGUUGGUCACUAAUCCUGCUUCCAUUUCAUUUGUGGAUUCUGAUGCACCUCUGAGCCUGCAUAAAGGCCACAGGACCACUGAUGAAGAAAAUCAAUUUCAUGUGAGCUGCCAUGUGCCCUUCAGAGGUGGCCAGCAUUAGAACGUAAUGCAUAUGAUAUAAAAUCCUCUCAUCUCCUUCAGUUAGAUCUCGUCCCAACACAUCUAGUGAUAAAACGUUCUUCCAAAAUACCAAAGUAUAUCAACGAUCGACUCAUUGAAACUAAUCUCUCCAUAUGGGAAGGAGAGAGACCAGAAACAAAUCUCCUCAGGAUCACAGUUCAAGCCCACUGUGCAGACAUCAAAACUACUAGGGACCUCCCCAUGCAGCCCAAAACCUAAUUACUUGAUUUGACUUCUGAAAGCCAACUAGGUCUAGUUAGCUAUAUAACAUUUUACAAGCUCAUCCAACUGAAUGAAUGACAUUAAAUAAUCUCCCUGCC